UACGUAGGGGGCAAGCGUUGUCCGGAAUCAUUGGGCGUAAAGAGCGUGUAGGCGGCCCGGUAAGUCCGCUGUGAAAGUCGGGGGCUCAACCCUCGGAUGCCGGUGGAUACUGUCGGGCUCGAGUACGGAAGAGGCGAGUGGAAUUCCUGGUGUAGCGGUGAAAUGCGCAGAUAUCAGGAGGAACACCAAUUGCGAAGGCAGCUCGCUGGGACGUUACUGACGCUGAGACGCGAAAGCGUGGGGAGCAAACAGG
rnacentral:rRNA from 1 species